rnacentral:rRNA from 1 species
AUUGAACGCUAGCGGCAGGCUUUACACAUGCAAGUCGAACGAGUGGCGGACGGGUGAGUAAUAUAUCGGAACGUGCCCAGUAGCGGGGGAUAACUACGCGAAAGAGUGGCUAAUACCGCAUACUAUUGGGUGGGCCGAUAUGGGAUUAGGUAGUUGGUGGGGUAAAGGCUCACCAAGGCAACGAUCCGUAGCUGGUUUGAGAGGAUGACCAGCCACACUGGGACUGAGACACGGCCCAGACUCCUACGGGAGGCAGCAGUGGGGAAUUUUGGACAAUGGGGGAAACCCUGAUACAGCCAUGCCGCGUGUAUGAGAAGGCCUUCGGGUUGUAAAGUACUUUUGGCAGAGAGGCGGUAUCUGCAGAAGAAGCACCGGCUAACUACGUGCCAGCAGCCGCGGUAAUAC